rnacentral:rRNA from 1 species
GACGAACGCUGGCGGCGUGCUUAACACAUGCAAGUCGAACGGAAAGGCCCUGCUUUUGUGGGGUGCUCGAGUGGCGAACGGGUGAGUAACACGUGAGUAACCUGCCCUUGACUUUGGGAUAACUUCAGGAAACUGGGGCUAAUACCGGAUAGGAGCUCCUGCUGCAUGGUGGGGGUUGGAAAGUUUCGGCGGUUGGGGAUGGACUCGCGGCUUAUCAGCUUGUUGGUGGGGUAGUGGCUUACCAAGGCUUUGACGGGUAGCCGGUCUGAGAGGGUGACCGGACACAUUGGGACUGAGAUACGGCCCAGACGCCUACGGGAGGCAGCAGUGGGGAAUAUUGCACAAUGGGCGGAAGCCUGAUGCAGCAACGCCGCGUGCGGGAUGACGGCCUUCGGGUUGUAAACCGCUUUCGCCUGUGACGAAGCGUGAGUGACGGUAAUGGGUAAAGAAGCACCGGCUAACUACGUG